AGCAUCCGAAACAGAAUCUGCCAUAACGACAGAAAUGGCCAGUCAAUCCCAGGGUAUCCAGCAGCUCCUGCAAGCGAAAAACGAGCGGCUGAGAAGGUGGCAGAUGCCAGAAAGAGAAAGGCCCGGCGUCUGAAGCAGGCAAAGGAGGAGGCACAGAUGGAAGUGGAACAAUACCGCCGAGAGCGAGAACUGGAAUUCCAGAGCAAACAGCAGGCGGCCAUGGGCUCCCAGGGGAACCUGUCCGCAGAAGUGGAGCAGGCUACAAAGCACCAAGUGCAGGGCAUGCAGAGUUCCCAGCAGAAAAACCGAGGACGCGUCCUGGCCCAGCUACUUGGUAUGGUCUGCGAUGUCAGGCCCCAGGUCCACCCCAAUUACCGGAUUGCUGCCUAG